AGCCCCGGAGCCCUUUGGGGCUCUUUUUCAAACUUGCAUUUUGAUGUGGGACACUUCGGGGCUUCA
rnacentral:tRNA from 1 species